CACUCCGAGGAGUGCCGCCAGUCAGCGAGGGUUCGCACACUGGCGUGCAAUAGUU
rnacentral:sRNA from 1 species